rnacentral:rRNA from 1 species
GGUACGCGCGGAUCUUCCAGAGAUUAGAGUUUGAUCCUGGCUCAGGACGAACGCUGGCGGCAUGCCUAAUACAUGCAAGUCGAGCGAAUGAAGAAAAAGCUUGCUUUUUCUGAUUUAGCGGCGGACGGGUGAGUAACACGUGGGCAACCUGCCCUGUAGAUUGGGAUAACUCCGGGAAACCGGGGCUAAUACCGAAUAAUCCAUUUCCUCACAUGUGGAAAUGUUAAAAGACGGUCUCGGCUGUCACUACAGGAUGGGCCCGCGGCGCAUUAGCUAGUUGGUAGGGUAACGGCCUACCAAGGCGACGAUGCGUAGCCGACCUGAGAGGGUGAUCGGCCACACUGGGACUGAGACACGGCCCAGACUCCUACGGGAGGCAGCAGUAGGGAAUCUUCCACAAUGGACGAAAGUCUGAUGGAGCAAUGCCGCGUGAGUGAAGAAGGUUUUCGGAUCGUAAAACUCUGUUGUGAGGGAAGAACAAGUACGAGAGUAACUGCUCGUACCUUGACGGUACCUCAUUAGAAAGCCACGGCUAACUACGUGCCAGCAGCCGCGGUAAUACGUAGGUGGCAAGCGUUGUCCGGAAUUAUUGGGCGUAAGGCGCGCGCAGGCGGUCCUUUAAGUCUGAUGUGAAAGCCCACGGCUCAACCGUGGAAGGUCAUUGGAAACUGGGGGACUUGAGUACAGAAGAGG